UACGUAGGGUGCGAGCGUUAAUCGGAAUUACUGGGCGUAAAGCGUACGUAGGCGGCUUUGUAAGUUAGAGGUGAAAGCCCGGGGCUCAACUCCGGAACUGCCUUUAAGACUGCAUCGCUAGAACGUCGGAGAGGUGAGUGGAAUUCCGAGUGUAGAGGUGAAAUUCGUAGAUAUUCGGAAGAACACCAGUGGCGAAGGCGACUCACUGGACGACUGUUGACGCUGAGGUACGAAAGCGUGGGGAGCAAACAGG
rnacentral:rRNA from 1 species